rnacentral:tRNA from 1 species
GGAGAGAUGACUGAGAGGUUGAAAGUGGCGGUCUCGAAAACCGUUGUGCGCUUAUACCGCACCGGGGGUUCGAAUCCCUCUCUCUCCG